rnacentral:rRNA from 1 species
GAUGAACGCUGGCGGCGUGCUUAACACAUGCAAGUCGAACGGAAAGGCCAGUGCUUGCACUGGUGCUCGAGUGGCGAACGGGUGAGUAACACGUGGGUGAUCUGCCCUGCACCUUGGGAUAAGCCUGGGAAACUGGGUCUAAUACCAGAUAGGACCAUGCUUUGGAUGGUGUGGUGGAAAGUUUUUUCGGUGUGGGAUGAGCUUGCGGCCUAUCAGCUUGUUGGUGGGGUAAUGGCCUACCAAGGCGUCGACGGGUAGCCGGCCUGAGAGGGUGUACGGCCACAUUGGGACUGAGAUACGGCCCAGACUCCUACGGGAGGCAGCAGUGGGGAAUAUUGCACAAUGGGCGCAAGCCUGAUGCAGCGACGCCGCGUGGGGGAUGACGGCCUUCGGGUUGUAAACUCCUUUCGCAACUGACGAAGCUUUUUGUGACGGUAGGUGGAGAAGAAGCACCGGCUAACUACGUG